rnacentral:rRNA from 1 species
AUUGAACGCUGGCGGCAUGCCUUACACAUGCAAGUCGAACGGUAACAGGUCUUCGGAUGCUGACGAGUGGCGAACGGGUGAGUAAUACAUCGGAACGUGCCCGAUCGUGGGGGAUAACGAGGCGAAAGCUUUGCUAAUACCGCAUACGAUCUACGGAUGAAAGCGGGGGAUCUUCGGACCUCGCGCGGACGGAGCGGCCGAUGGCAGAUUAGGUAGUUGGUGGGAUAAAAGCUUACCAAGCCGACGAUCUGCAGCUGGUCUGAGAGGAUGAUCAGCCACACUGGGACUGAGACACGGCCCAGACUCCUACGGGAGGCAGCAGUGGGGAAUUUUGGACAAUGGGCGAAAGCCUGAUCCAGCCAUGCCGCGUGCAGGAUGAAGGCCUUUGGGUUGUAAACUGCUUUUGUACGGAACGAAAAGCCUCUUUCUAAUAAAGAGGGGUCAUGACGGUACCGUAAGAAUAAGCACCGGCUAACUACGUG